rnacentral:rRNA from 1 species
AGCAGCCGCCGCGGGAAUACGUAGGGGGCGAGCGUUGUCCGAAGUUACUGGGCGUAAAGAGCGCGUAGGCUGGUCCUUAAGUGAGUGGUGAAAGGUUCGGGCUCAACCCGGACACUGCCUUUCAUACUGGGGACCUUGAGUGUGGGAGAGGCGAGUGGAAUGGUCGGUGUAGCGGUGAAAUGCGUAGAUAUCGGAAGGAACACCUGUGGCGAAAGCGGCUCACUGGACCAUUUCUGACGCUGAUGCACGAAAGCUAGGGGAGCAAACAGGAUUAGAUACCCCCGUAGUCCCUGUCUCUUAUAC